CCUCUUCUCCAGCAUGGGGCUUGUAGAGAACAAGUGUAUAAAGAGGUGCCUGGGCAGGGGCAGGUGUGGAUGUGGGAGUCCCAGCUGAGAGCCAAGCAUGUGGGGGAGCAGGAGCAGCAGGGCCAUGAGGUGCUUUGCCAUGCUAGCAAGCCACAGCGGUUGGCUAUGAAUCCACGUCCCCAGCCUCAGAGAAGGCUGAGUCCCUGGAGCUGGGUUCUCAGUCCCCUGCACAAGGAGCAGCAGCUUGGCAUGGGGUCAAGCUGGGCAUGUCAGCCCUCCCUCUGAGGGCCCCCAGUGAGUCCCUUUGUCUCCAGGUGCUCCUGUUUCCCUGCUUAGCAUGGAAAACACACUAUUCCUAAUUUCCCUGCUUGGUUGUCCAUAAAGCAAUUAUCUGAUAAUUAUUUCUGUUCAUUGGCAAGUUAGUUCUAAUGAUGUUUGCUAAACGUUUGAUUAUUACUGCAAACACCGCUUUUGGAUUUGGAGUUGGGGCUGUGAUUGCUGCAGGCAGUUUCUGGAAGAGGUAAUUCUUACAGGCAAGUUUUUAUAGAGAUAUCACAGUGAGAGCUGGAAUUUGUGAUGCUCUCGGCUCUUUUGGUUUUAUAGAUAACGUAAUGAAGGCGAUAAGCUUGCACGCAGUGAUAAGCAAUGGUUUGGUGACUGAGAGCAUUAGACAGCAAAACUCCAGGAUGGUUUGGGAAGGAGAGAGGCAGCGGUGCUGGGAGCGGCCGUGCUGCUCGUGGCCCUGGGCUGAGUGCUGCCACCCGGACCAGUGGGAACCAGUUGAUUCCCCUCCCAGCACAAAGAUCCUUUUCAAGCCUUGGUUUUGCCUGGAGACCUUUGUGCCGCUCUUGAGGAAUUCUAUUGCAGGCCUUUCUGGAUGAUUUUCUGUGGUCAGUGCCUUACACCGAGAGUCACGGGGCAGCAGAGAGGGCUCAUCCCUGCGCAGGGCUUCCAGUGGGGGGUUGCCUGCUGCCAGCAGCUCUCUGAAGGAGCGUGAGCUUUUCUCACAUCGCUCCCUCCUAUUGCAGCAGCCACGGCAGCAAAAGAGCCCUGGAGGAAUCGUGGAGCGCUUGGGGUGAAAAACAACGGAGAAACAGCACAGAGCUGCACAUGUGCUGGGAGAGCCAGGGGUGUCAGAGCCAGCCCGGGGUGGGGGCAGAGCCUGCUCCUGCUGCACACACAGUGCAGGACAGGAGAUCAAAGAGGUGCGGGCAGGGUAAGAGUUUGAGCCCAUGCUGGAGCGGUGGAGGGGAAGGAAGGGAUGUCAGUGACACACAGGAGGCUUUUGUCGGCGGAGGACAGUGAGAAUGGAGGGGAAGGGCCUGCAGUACCAAAGGGCGCUUUGUGAGCACCUACAGCACUGGGCGAUGGCAAGAGGAAACUGUCUCCAAAAACAGCCAGGGGUGUUACCUGGUAAAGCUCACAUGGCCCAACUCUCAUCCAGUCCUGAGGUUUUCGAGGAGAAAAGUCUUCUCCCGGGACUGAAAAUCUGCAUUUCUACUGCAGUGGCUCCCAACACCCUCCUGGAAGGCACCGGCAAGCUGUAUCCUCCAGCAAGUGCAAAGAAAUAGAGGCUGUAAACCCUAAAAAGCAGCACUGCUCAGUAUUUGUGUCUACAAUCCACCACCACAACACGGUGUUCUGAUCAAACCUGUCUGCUUUAAGGCUGGCAAUUUCACACCAUUUCAGCAUGACAGCUAGAAAGCAAAGACCUUGAUGGCCCAAAUAUUUUCUUGCGAUUUAUUCUGCGAGGCUCUGCAGGAGAAAGAAGCAGGUGCUGGAUUCUCUUUCUGCUGAUCCACUCCCCUCCAGUGGCUGUCCUGCCAGUGAGCCAACAGGGUCCCUUCUUUCCCUCAAGGCAGAUCUGCGGGAGCUGAGAUGCUGCUCUCCGGGCUGUGAAGCACACAAGGCUGAAUGCUCUGAGUGAAGCCCCUGGGGCAGAGUGCCAGGCUGGGGCUGCGGGGGGAACCAGGCGGGCAGAGCACUGCUCCUGGCUGCAGCUGCCACCAGACCUUACCUCGUCGCUCCUGCAGGGCUGGAGUUAAUAAAGUCCGUGAGUCAGCCAGACCCUCAGCGUGAAUGUCACUAAGCAGCGCAGCAUUACCUGCUGGUGCUCCUAGGAAGACUCUGUUUCCUCCUUCUGUCCCCAGGCCCAGCAGGGAGCUGUGACCUCGUUCCCGCCAGGCCCCGGGCAGAGCUGUGCCAUCUCUUUCCAGCAAAAGUGACAAUGCGUAGGAGGGGUGUGAAGCAGCAUGGAGCUCUGGGGGGAUUCACGCGUGGAGGGCAACAGCUUCCUGCUGCCCGUCCCCAGCCAUGAGGGACUUGGCCUCGUGGUGCAGCACGGGAACAUCACAGCGAGAGAGGGAGAUCCCUGCCCAGCAGUGGUGCUCACCUCGCUCAGCACCUCGGCGGCGUCAGCCAUGGGCUGCAGCUGGCCCAGCACCUGCAGAUCAGCAGGGAAGGGUUUCUCCUUCCUAUCCCCCUGUUACCUGGCAGGCUCUCAAGCCUUGACCUUCGUCCCCGUCCUCUCCUGCUACCCAAGAAGGGAAAUUUUUGGAGGAAGAUGUUUUCAGGCUUACUGCCUCCAGUUCCUGCUUGCUGUUAACCCAGCCACACAGCAGGGUCAGGAGGUGAAGACACCUGAGUUUCCAUCUUGCUCUUGCACCAGCUGGCCCUGAGUUCAGCAGGGAUGCUGCAGCCAUGGUGCCUGGUGACAAGAUGCUGUGCUGGGAAGGUGGCACGGGCAUCUCCUGGAGAAGUGCAGCCAGGCCAGGUGCCCUUGACAAAGGCAGGCAGUGCCCAGCCUGACUCUGGACCUCGCCUCAUUGCGGAGCAGGGAGAGGGGCCUGGCAGCAACUCGUGCUGGGGUGGGGUUCAGCCAAGACCCCCAGCACCCACCCUCUGCUCCCAUUUUGUGGUCAGGGCUGUUGGCCAAGAACAAGUGAUUUAUGGGUGUUCUGCAUGAAGAAGGGGACUUGCCUUCAACCAGAGGAGGAUUUACCGUCAGUCUGAGGAGGGAAGGCUGUCGGGAGCUGGGAUGUGGAUGCACAUCGGUGAGUGCAUGUCGGGCAGGUGUGUGGGCCCCAUGCCCCUGCUGCCUUGCUUCUGGGAGCAAUCCAUGAGCAGUGAGAAGAGACCAGCAGCUCUGGGGCAGCCUUUCCCCUCACUUUCUCUUGCCUUUAAACCACUCUGCACGAAAGGACAGAAAAAGGAGGGCAAAAGCUGAGAGUGGGGAAUCUGUCCAUCUGUGAACCAGCAGCUCCGCUCUAAGGAGGGAAUGGGCCCUUAAGAGAAGCAGCAGCUGCUGCCCCACACCGCUCGUAUUGGCCUCACAUGGAGCAGCAGCACGGGCAGUGGGGGUUUCUGAUGUGCUGGGGCUCAGUACUGCGAGAGCCAGCAAGCUGUGCUGCAAGUCCUCUUUAUUACAUGUCAUAAAGUGGUAUUCCAAGAACAAUGCACCACAGCAGCAGAGAUAUAAAUAAUACGCAUUGCAAUACAAUCGAGCCUUGUCUAGGGCCUCUGCCCUGGGUGCUGGUAACUGCCUGCAGGUGAGCGGCUGCAGCGUGGAGCUGAGCUGCAAACCCCAUCUGCAGACCAAAGCGCACUGCUGCGAGGUGCUGGGGGAGAUGGGGGGUGGAGAGGGCCUGGAAGAGGAUGAGGGCAGUGGGAGGAUCUCUGCCUGCUUGAUGCCACUGUGCUGCCCCCCAAAGCCUCCCCAUGCACCCUGCCAGGACCAGCUUAGCUGUCCCACAGCUGUCUCUAAGAAGAGGUCAGAAGGGUUCCGGAGCUCACAGCUCUGUGGCAGCUGAAGUGUUACCUCUUGUCCCAGCCCACUUUUCUGGAGCAUACCCCAUAAUUCCUUUAUUUUACUCGUAAGACUCAGAAAGCAUCAUUUCUUUCUCCAGCUGUUCUAAUAUGUUGUUGGGCUCUGGAUGUCACUUCAAAAUGAAGUAGAUUAAAUUUGGGAACCGAAGUUCCCAGCUGUGUCCCCUCAAGCUCGCAUACCCUUUAGGGUCUGUGGGAUGCUCCCCUGGCCCUCGGCUGCUCCGGCCCCACCUCUGACACAGGGUCUGUGUUUGCACUGCCACUGUCCAUCUCCUGGCACGCAACCACACAGUGACUCAGUUCCUCAGCAAUUUCAAACACUGAAACAUCUGCUCCAGCACAGAGUAAUUAAUGACUUUCUGGUUCAUCUGCCGAGCAGAAACACUUGGGCUUGCAGCUCUGGUGUAGACUUAUUUAAAAGGCUUCCCAUCAGGAGUGUUUAGGUUCCCCUAAUUGCUGUGUGACUGACAGCGAGCUCAGGGCGCAUCGCUGCACUGGAAGCACAGAGCAGGAGCUGCGGGCACUGUGCUCGGGGAAGCUCAAGGCACAGCUUCACCUCCCACGUGAGGACAGUCAGGGCCUGGGCAACACGUCUGUAGUGCAGUGACAAGGCAGGGCUGCAGACCCAGCAGAGCGCGGAGCCCUGACCCAUCUCCUGCAGCGUUUGCAGAGGCCACCACAGCCCCUGAUCUUUGCCUCCACCACAAGGACUGGAGUGCAGAACAGCCCCUGGCUCAACCCUCAAUAGCACUUUGCAAUUUGAGAUCAUUACUGCACAAAGCCCUGUUCUCUUUACAAGAGGGGGAGCCUCGGAGAGGCUGACCGAAGCCAGCACCCAGCGCAGAGAGGAGCACGCGUGGGAUGAGUGUGGGUUUUCCUUCGCUGCCCCCUCUUUGGCACUUCUGCCAGCAGCAUCUUUCUGGGUACCUGGGACGCAGCAUCCCCGGUUCCCUGCUGCUUAUGGGGGCAGGGCAGGGAGCAGCCUGGCACCGGCACUGCUGGUACUGCAGCUGUGGGCACAGCAGAAGCGCGUCUCCAGCAAAAGGAGGAAAGCAGUGCUGGAGAAGUCCGGCCUGAGCGAGAGGCAAGGGAUUUGGCUUGAGAGUCAUCUCAGUGGAAAACAAAGUGGAAGGAAAGCUGGCUCACUUUGCUCAGAAGUAACAUUAUCCGGGGAGAUGACAGAGCUGCUAGCAGGAUGCGCUCUCUGCGAGGUUGGGCUGGAGCAGGCGCAGCGCUGCGAGGUCACGCUUCUAACCCCGGCUGUAAAUCCAUGCCGUGCCAUUGCACAAGUCCUCUCUGGGCCUCCUGGGACUCUGUUGUAACGUAUUGCUGGGCUUUACAGAGAUUUAAUGCAUGCACCGAAGCCUCCAGCGCCCAUACAUCACUCGGUGGUUAGUGGGAGGCACAGUCAAGAGCUGGACAAAGAUUGUUGCCAAAGGGUGUGAGGAGAAAUGCUUUGGCCCAUUAACAAAGCUCCUGCAAAGGAAUGCAGACGUGGUGUGAGGAUGCUGACAGCCUGGAGAGCCACAGGAGGAGCAAGAUGAGGGCUGGGGGGAGCGGAGGGACUGGGGGGAGCAACCGGCGGGAGUGGUGGUUGGAGGCACCACUGCUUUUGCUGGGAAGAGGGAAUUGGCUGCCAUCAGUUUGCAAAUGCCUUUCCUGCCUCUGCCCAGUUU